ACGGAAGGCAGCAGUGGGGAAUAUUGCACAAUGGGGGAAACCCUGAUGCAGCGACGCCGCGUGAGUGAAGAAGUAUUUCGGUAUGUAAAGCUCUAUCAGCAGGGAAGAUAAUGACGGUACCUGACUAAGAAGCCCCGGCUAACUACGUGCCAGCAGCCGCGGUAGUACGUAGGGGGCAAGCGUUAUCCGGAUUUACUGGGUGUAAAGGGAGCGUAGGUGGCGUGGCAAGUCAGAAGUGAAAGCCCGGGGCUCAACCCCGGGACUGCUUUUGAAACUGUCAUGCUGGAGUGCAGGAGAGGUAAGUGGAAUUCCUAGUGUAGCGGUGAAAUGCGUAGAUAUUAGGAGGAACACCAGUGGCGAAGGCGGCUUACUGGACUGUAACUGACACUGAGGCUCGAAAGCGUGGGGAGCAAACAGGAUUAGAUACCCUGGUA
rnacentral:rRNA from 1 species